rnacentral:rRNA from 1 species
GACGAACGCUGGCGGCGUGCUUAACACAUGCAAGUCGAGCGGAGCGGCGAACGGGGGAGUAAAGCGUGAGGAAGUGCCCCCCGCUCUGGGAAAACAGUAGGAAACGGCUGGUAAUACCGGAUAGUGGGGGAUGACUCGCGUCCUAUCAGCGUGUUGGUGGGGGAGUGGACUACCAAUGAGACGACGGGUAGCCGGCCUGAGAGGGCGACCGGCCACAUUGGGCUGAGAUACGGCCCAUACUCCUUCGUGAUGCAGCAGUGGGGAAUAUUGCACAAUUGGUGAAACCCUCAUGCAUCAACGCCUCGUGCGUGAUGACGGCCUUCGGGUUGUAAACCGCUUUCGGCCAUGACGCGGUAGUGGCAGAAGAAGCACCGGCUAACUACGUGCCAGCAGCCGCGGUAAUAC